AUAGCGUUGUGCAACUGAAGCAAACAAUCAACUAUGGGUGGCAAGGCACAGUCAAAAGAUCUCUGGGAUAAAGUUGUGGACAGGCACAAGUCAGGAGAUGGAUACAAAAAAACUGUCAAAGACUUCAUCAAUGCCUAGAAGCAUAGUGAAGUCUAUUAUUAAGAAGUGGAAGGGUACAACACAGAGCCUCCCUGGAUCAGGACAUCCCUCCAAACUGGAUGAAAGAGCCAAGAGGGAACUGGUCCGAGAGGAGACCAAAAGGCCUCAGAAGCAGCUGCAGGAAUUUAUGACAGAGAGUGGUCAUUGUGUGCAACAAUAUCACAAAUGGAGCUUGAAUGGGAGGAUUGCAAGAAAAGAACUCCUCAAGAAAGGCCACAUGCAGUCAUGACUGAGAUUUACCAAAACACACCUUGAAGAUUCUGAGGCGUAUGAAACUAAAAUUGAAUUAUUUGGCCUCAACACCAAAUGAUAUGUCUGGCGGAAAUUCAAAUUCUUGAGGAAAAUCUGCUGCCCUCUGCCAGAAAGCUGUCAUUGUAAAGAAGGUUUACCUUCCAACAUUACAAUGACCCGAAGCACACACAAAAAACUGACCACACUGUGGUUGAAGGAGAAAAAGAGCUCUACAGGGAAACAUCUAGCAGCAGCGAGGACGAGGAGCUGCCUGGCCGAGAUCGUGAAGGCUACAUCUGCGCUGUGUGUCUGGAUGUCUACUUCAUCCAGACAUGUGCCAUCCCUGCAGCCGCGUCUUCUGUGAGCCUCGUCUGAGGAUGCUGGCCAAGAACUGCCACCAAUACAUCCUGUACAUUGUGCAGAACCACCCUAAUACACGUCUUUCAGAAAGAACUGAACCAAACAGCCGUACAUUCUUCCCAAAAGAAUACCUGUCUCGAAAACAGAAUUUCCAGAAAGCGCGCUGUGCAAAAUGGCCUCUACCAAGCUGCCAUAAACUGUCGGAUUUUUGGAGUAUGUCUUUCUUAGGCUUUCAAAACCAGGCAAGUCCAAUCUCAGACGCCAGUUCCCUCAUGGGGGCUACCGGCUUGAUGCCUUCAGCUUUGAGGAUGAUUCACAUGGCUGGCGAUUUGACAUGGACAUGGUGAUCAUCUAUAUAUACUCCGUCAACCGGGACAUUGGCUUCAUUAUCUUCUGCUUCUUCUGCUGUUUCAUCUCCCUCUCUUUUUAAAGAGAAGGCACAGGGAAGCUGUCUGCAGUGUUUCAGACCUUUCAGGACAACACAAAAGUCAGCAACAAGGGAAUAAUGCGCUGCACAGAGAGAAAUGAAUUUAUGCAGCCAAAGUUCCAGAGCUUGAUGAUUCC